rnacentral:rRNA from 1 species
GACGAACGCUGGCGGCGUGCCUAAUACAUGCCAGUUGAGCGAUGAAGAUUGGUGCUUGCACCAAUUUGAAGAGCAGCGAACGGGUGAGUAACGCGUGGGGAAUCUGCCUUUGAGCGGGGGACAACAUUUGGAAACGAAUGCUAAUACCGCAUAACAACUUUAAACAUAAGUUUUAAGUUUGAAAGAUGCAAUUGCAUCACUCAAAGAUGAUCCCGCGUUGUAUUAGCUAGUUGGUGAGGUAAAGGCUCACCAAGGCGAUGAUACAUAGCCGACCUGAGAGGGUGAUCGGCCACAUUGGGACUGAGACACGGCCCAAACUCCUACGGGAGGCAGCAGUAGGGAAUCUUCGGCAAUGGACGAAAGUCUGACCGAGCAACGCCGCGUGAGUGAAGAAGGUUGUCGGAUCGUAAAACUCUGUUGGUAGAGAAGAACGUGGGUGAGAGUGGAAAGCUCAUCAAGUGACGGUAACUACCCAGAAAGGGACGGCUAACUACGUG